CCUUUCUCUCUUAACAACGCAGUUCCACUCUUCCACUUCCACAGCCGAUAACCAUUUUCCACAACAAUUUCUUUUCUCUCAAAAUGAGAGUUCACCGCCAAAGCUUUUUCUCUCUUUCAAGACAACCCUUCUCUCUCUUCUUUUUCUCUUCCAGAGCGAAGGACGGCGAUGACCGGCAUGGGACUAUGGAUCUAGAAGAACCGUCGGUGGCAAAAGCGAGAACAAGUGCAAAGAAGGCAUUUCUGAUAGACUCUACAAAUCUCAGCUCCAUAGAUCUGCGAGAAUCACCAUCUGCGACCAUCUACCAGCGAUGACCUGCGACAAUGGUUUCGCAUUUCUGUUUUUUCCAUUCUGGAGACCUUAAUUAGGUAUUCCAGUUGCUUGAAAUGAGGAUUUUAUGGCACUCAUUUGCACUGCUAACAUUAGGAAGAAGAAAUAAAAUGUUUUGAUUUUAAAAUCAUUGCAGGUGAUUAAGUGAUGGGCUUUGGAAUGUCUUGGCAAAUAAGGUUAGCACCUUUCGAGCCUUCCAUUGAUUGGUCUACUGCAAGAGCUAAUGCAACAAAACUUAUAGUGUUCACAUGUCACUGUAAGGUUGUCUUUGAGUGUGAAUGAUACCAAAUUGACUAAAUAAUCCUUGACUAGCAUCUAAUGUUUGAUAGAAGUCAUUUUCAUAAUGUGUAAACAUUAGUUUGUUGAUAGAAAUACUAUUAUAAAACUGUUUAUUGUUAUUUUUUUCUUGGAAAUUUUCUGCUCUAGGGGAUUGUAGAUAUCUGAUGGAGUGAUAAAUUGAAUGAUAAUGAUAAACUGCAUGAUAAUGAGCUUUCUUUUUUUUGGUCUGUGCAAGCAUAAGGUGUGUACCUUAUAUUGAAAAUAUGGUGUCUAUUUACAAAAGAUUGGAUGCUGCAUUUGUUGCCAAUGUCUCUUUGUCAUUGUCUUCAGAGCAUUCUAUUAACUGUACCAGCUGCAGGAAGAUCAUUGGAGCAGUCUCAACAUGUCAAUUCAUUUGCAAAUCUUGACUUCACACUUCCUCCUAAAGUCCAAUGAAAUGUUGGUGGCAGUAUGCAAAUACUACGUAAUAGUUUGGAGAGAUGUAAUAGUUUGGAGAUUGAAUCAUAAGUUAAAUUCCAGAAUUUAAGAUUUUGACUUUUAAAUUUUCUACUUUAUAUUCAUGAAUGAUUUCUCUUGAAGCCUAUGAAAUGUGUAUAUGGUUUUCUCAAA